rnacentral:lncRNA from 1 species
AAAUUAAUUGUAACGGUGGGCUUGCUUCAUCCUACCUGCUUUUUUAGGUUUCCAUUAGGAAUUUCUCAAAUCUCUUUAUUGUAUCCAUCAGGAAUGCCAGGUCUCGUGGAUCAGGUGAGCUUCAGAAGGCCUCUGCUUUGAGGAAGCCUUUUUCACACAGCCUUCUCUGAGGCUGGGUUAGGCAUUUCUCUGUCUACACCCCUCGGUCCUCUUAUCUCCUGCUGUCUUGGCACUUGACACAUCCCUCCAGGUUACCCUAUAGGCAUGCCCUUGACCCCUGCCCCCAGGCUUGAAGGCAGGAACCCUGUGCUUUCUGUCAGAGCUUCAGACAGAUCUUCCUUACAUCCUUAUUUUUUCUUUUCCCUGCUGCUUCUGCAGCAUAUGGAAGUUCCCAGGCUAGGGGUCAAGUCAAAGCUGCCAGCAGAACACCACAGCCAUGGCAACACUGAAUCUGAGCUGUAUCUGUGACCUACACCAGAGUUUGUAGCAAUGAUGGAUCCUUUACCUACCGAGGGAAGCCAGGGAUCAAACCUGCAUCUUCACAGACAGUAUGUUUGGUUCUUAACCCACUGAACCACAAUAGAACCUCUCAUUAUAUCCUUCUUGAAUGAGGGAAAACACAUUUCAAGUGCCAAAAGAUUCAAAUAGGUUACUUCCCACCCUUCACUCUGUCUUUUGUCCAAUAGAUGUCAUUUGUCUAAAGAGAAACACCAUUUACUUGUGGUACUUCUGUUUAUAGGGCUCAGCAUACUUCCCUAGACUUUCACUUCAUUUUAAAAAAUAGACAAAAUCCAUUUUUUCUCACGCUGCCUGUAAAGUCUUAGGUGCUAAGCUGGAACAGAAAUGGUAGAAGGAGCCUAGUAGCAAUCGUGUGAAGUUUUAACUGAUACCACAGAUACCAAAUAGAAGCAAUGCAGGCAAAACAGAAGAAAAAUAUUUGCAUAUUAAAAACAGUAAAGACAAAAAAUAUUGAUGAAAUGUUUUCCUAUAAAGUAGACAUUUUUUGGUGGGUUUCUUUCAAAAAUAGAACAAAUUGGGAAAUAAAAUACAUGCAAUUUUUUUUAAGGGCUGCACCUGCGGGAUAUGGAAGUUCCCAGGCUAGCAUGUUGAAUUGGAGAUGCAGCUGCUAGCCUACACCACAGCCAUGGCAUUGUGGGAUCCAAGCCACAUCUUCAACCUACACCACAGCCCACAGCAAUGCCAGAUUAACCCACUUGAGCUUAACCACUAAUCGAGGCCAGGGAUCAAACCUGCAUCCUCAUGCAUACUAGUCAUGU